rnacentral:rRNA from 1 species
CCCUUAGAUGUUCUGGGCGGCCCGCGCACUACAAUGGCGCUUUCAGCGAGUUCCUAUGUUGAAUUUUCCUGGGUAUUCUUGGAAGCGGCGUCUUGACUUGGGAUAGAUCCUUGUAAUUGUUGGUUUUGAACGAGGAAUUCCUUGUAAUCGCGGUUGAUCAGCUCGCGUUGAAUACGUCCCUGCCCUUUGUACACACCACCCGUCGCUCCUACCGAUGAAUCGUCCGGUGAAGUUCACAGAGUGGCGGUUCGUGGAGUUGCUCGCGAAGUGAAAUGGACCUCACGAUUUAGAGGAAGGAGAAGUCGUAACA